CCUACGGGAGGCUGCAGUAGGGAAUCUUCCACAAUGGGCGAAAGCCUGAUGGAGCAACGCCGCGUGGGUGAAGAAGGUCUUCGGAUCGUAAAACCCUGUUGUUAGAGAAGAAAGUGCGUGAGAGUAACUGUUCACGUUUCGACGGUAUCUAACCAGAAAGCCACGGCUAACUACGGGCCAGCAGCCGCGGUAAUACGUAGGUGGCAAGCGUUAUCCGGAUUUAUUGGGCGUAAAGGGAACGCAGGCGGGCUUUUAAGUCUGAUGGGAAAGCCUUCGGCUUAACCGGAGUAGUGCAUUGGAAACUGGGAGACUUGAGUGCAGAAGAGGAGAGUGGAACUCCAUGUGUAGCGGUGAAAUGCGUAGAUAUAUGGAAGAACACCAGUGGCGAAAGCGGCUCUCUGGUCUGUAACUGACGCUGAGGUUCGAAAGCGUGGGUAGCAAACAGGAUUAGAUACCCCAGUAGUC
rnacentral:rRNA from 1 species